rnacentral:rRNA from 1 species
UACGUAGGGGGCAAGCGUUGUCCGGAUUUAUUGGGCGUAAAGAGCGUGUAGGCGGUUCGGUAGGUCCGUUGUGAAAACUCGAGGCUCAACCUCGAGACGCCGAUGGAAACCCCCUGGCUAGAGUCCGGAAGAGGAGAGUGGAAUUCCUGGUGUAGCGGUGAAAUGCGCAGAUAUCAGGAAGAACACCCGUGGCGAAGGCGGCUCUCGUGGGACGGUACUGACGCUGAGACGCGAAAGCGUGGGGAGCGAACAGG